rnacentral:tRNA from 2 species
GGGCCCAUAGCUCAGUUGGUCAGAGCAGCAGACUCAUAAUCUGACGGUCCUUGGUUCGAGUCCAAGUGGGCCCACCA